rnacentral:lncRNA from 1 species
AUAAUAAUUAUAGCUGUCCUUUACAUAAUACUUAAUGAUUUCCAAAUCAUUUUUAUAUCCAUUAUCUCAACUGAAACUCACAACUACCCUAUAAAAUUAUUUUUAUCCCCAUUUUACAGAUGCAGAAAUUCAAGUCUAGAAUUUAAAUCACUUGCUUGGGGCUUCAAAUGUUCUAAGUUUUGGAGUCUUGCAUUCUUGCAAAAGGUAUCCUUCCUGAACCACAGGGGCAUACAUCUGAAACCCAUAACAUUUUGGUGCCCAACAUUUUUGGCUCUCCUGAAAGCUACUCCUAUACCUCAGAUCAUCCAUGAGGACACAGCUUCUCAGGGAGGAAGAGGGUUGAUUCUGAACAGAAAGACAACUGGUAAACAGGGAGAGAUAAGAAGAUCUGAUAAAUGUCCUUUCCCUAUCUGCUAGCCAAAAGGAAGUAAUGCUUAAAUCUAUGAGUUUUUGUCCCAGUCCUGGUUUCUACACUUCUGUCUUAGGGGCUGACUCUCUCCCUUGUGACCUGUCUGCCAAUCAAGGGAAGCAGUCGCUGGACAUAUCCUUCACAUCGCCAAGCAGGUUCCCAGCUACGUAGGACCUAG